rnacentral:rRNA from 1 species
AUGGCGAUUCCCCUCGUGCUCGUCCUGCUCCCGCUCGGCCUCCUCUUCCUCCUCUCCGGCCUCGUCGUCAACACUGUCCAGGCCGUAUUGUUCUUGACGAUAAGGCCAUUCUCGAAGCGAUUGUACCGGCAGAUCAACGUAUUCCUGGCCGAGUUGUUGUGGCUUCAGCUGAUCUGGCUUGUGGACUGGUGGGCAGGUAUUAAGGUACAGGUGUAUGCGGAUCCAGCAACUUGGAAACUAAUGGGCAAAGAGCACGCCCUUCUAAUAUCCAAUCAUCGAAGUGACAUUGAUUGGCUGGUUGGAUGGAUUUUAGCACAGCGUUCAGGAUGCCUUGGAAGCGCAAUAGCUAUAAUGAAGAAAUCCUCAAAGUUCCUUCCAGUUAUUGGUUGGUCCAUGUGGUUUGCAGAAUACCUCUUUUUGGAGAGAAGCUGGGCAAAGGAUGAAAAAACACUCAAAUCGGGUCUUCAAAGGUUGAAAGACUUCCCCAGAUCAUUUUGGCUUGCCCUUUUUGUUGAGGGUACAAGAUUUACUCCAGCAAAACUUUUAGCAGCUCAAGAAUAUGCAAUCUCACAGGGUUUGACAGCGCCUAGGAAUGUGCUGAUUCCACGAACAAAGGGAUUUGUAUCAGCUGUAAGUAUUAUGCGUGACUUUGUCCCAGCUAUCUAUGAUACAACAGUGAUUAUUCCAGAAGAUUCGCCUAAACCAACAAUGCUGCGUAUUCUUCAGGGACAAUCAUCAGUUGUACAUGUCCGCAUAAAACGCCAUUCAAUGAGGGAUAUGCCUAACUCGGAUGAGGAUGUUUCAAAAUGGUGCAAAGACAUAUUUGUAGCAAAGGACGCGUUAUUGGACAAACAUAUAGCAACUGGUACUUUUGAUGAGGAAAUUAUACCAAUUGGUCGUCCAGUGAAAUCUUUGAUGGUGGUCCUGUCUUGGUCAUGUCUCCUCCUAUAUGGUGCUCAUAGAUUCUUACAGUGGACCCAGCUCUUGUCGACGUGGAAAGGAGUGAUCCUCUUUGCUUCUGGAUUGGCAAUGGUGACCGCCGUUAUGCAUGUAUUCAUCAUGUUCUCGCAGGCCGAGCGCUCAAGCUCCGCUAAAGCAGCAAGGGACCGAGUGAAGAAGGAUUGA